AGAGUUGGUCUAGAGGUUGCGGGAUCAUUUUAUCAAUGAUUCCGAGGAAAGUCCGAACUCCCGAAAGACCACACUUGCUGGAUAACGUCCAGUGCGCGCGAGCGUGAGGAUAGUGCCACAGAAAAAUACCGCCUCCUUUUUCAGUAAUCAGUAAACAGUAACGAAAGUAAAUUCACUGAUAACUGAUCACUGAUUGGGGGUAAGGGUGCAAAGGUGCGGUAAGAGCGCACCAGCAGUAUCGAGAGGUACUGGCUCGGUAAACCCCGGUGGGGAGCAAGGUGGAGGGACAAAGGUUGGUCUUUUUCCUGUCCCGUUUUUAGGAACCGCUUGAGGUAAUUGGUAACAAUUAUCCCAGAUAGAUAACCUCUAUUCCGACAAAGGUAAAAGCGAUUUUACUGCUGUUGGGAAAUACAGAAUUCGGCUUAUGUCUGACUCUCUCC
rnacentral:RNase_P_RNA from 2 species